rnacentral:rRNA from 1 species
AGCAGCCGCGGUAAUUCCAGCUCCAAUAGCGUAUAUUAAAGUUGUUGCAGUUAAAAAGCUCGUAGUUGAAUUUCGGGAUCAAGGAAUCGGUCAUGCCUUGGUAUGUACUGGUUUUAUUGGUUCUCACCUUCUAAAGAACCAUAAUGUCAUUUAUUUGAUGUUAUGGGGAAUUAGGACUGUUACCUUGAAAAAUUAGAGUGUUUAAAGCAAGCUUACGCUUGAAUACAUUAGCAUGGAAUAAUGAAAUAGGACAUCAGAUUCUAUUUUGUUGGUUUCUAGGAUCGAUGUAAUGAUUAAUAGGGAUAGUUGGGGGCAUUAGUAUUCAAUUGUCAGAGGUGAAAUUCUUGGAUUUAUUGAAGACUAACUACUGCGAAAGCAUUUGCCAAGGAUGUUUUCAUUAAUCAAGAACGAAAGUUAGGGGGUCGAAGACGAUCAGAUACCGUCGUAGUCUUAACCAUAAACUAUGCCGACUAGGGAUCGGAUGAUGUUAAUUUUAUAAUGACUCAUUCGGCACCUUAC